rnacentral:rRNA from 1 species
GACAGAGGUGCCAAGCGUUAGGCGGAAUCACUGGGCUUAAAGCGUGUGUAGGCGGUAUUGUAAGUACCUUGUGAAAUCCCAUGGCUCAACCAUGGAACUGCUCGGUAUACUGCUUUUCUUGAGCCACUUAGGGGCUACCGGAACAAAUGGUGGAGCGGUGAAAUGCGUAGAUAUCAUUUGGAACGCCAAUGGUGAAAACAGGUAGCUGGGAGUGUGCUGACGCUGAGACACGAAAGCCAGGGGAGCGAACGGG